AUUGAACGCUGGCGGCAGGCCUAACACAUGCAAGUCGAACGAGUGGCGGACGGGUGAGUAAUGUCUGGGAAACUGCCCGAUGGAGGGGGAUAACUACUGGAAACGGUAGCUAAUACCGCAUACUAUCGGAUGUGCCCAUAUGGGAUUAGCUAGUAGGUGGGGUAAAGGCCUACCAAGGCGACGAUCCGUAACUGGUCUGAGAGGAUGAUCAGUCACACUGGAACUGAGACACGGUCCAGACUCCUACGGUAGGCAGCAGUGGGGAAUAUUGGACAAUGGGCGAAAGCCUGAUGCAGCCAUGCCGCGUGUAUGAAGAAGGCCUUCGGGUUGUAAAGUACUUUCAGCGGGGAGGCGUUACCCGCAGAAGAAGCACCGGCUAACUCCGUGCCAGCAGCCGCGGUAAUUC
rnacentral:rRNA from 1 species